GACCUGCCAAGGGACUAUGGGUAGAAAAUAGCACUCAUGCUACAACCCAGUACAAUGCAUCUCUCCUUGUUCUUAUACUAGGUAAAUGUUAACUUGUGCAUCGUCCCUGUUUAAAUUAAACAAAACCUGAAAUGAGGUUUUUAUUACAAU